GAUUGUAGACCUGGUAAUAUUAUUAUUUUUUGCAAAUUGUGCUUGCAGUAGACUUUAGAGCUGAGCUAUAUGGUCUCACAUCCACGCUGAUCUAUGAAAAUAUUAGGUAUCAAUCAAACUUGACUGUUUAUGUUCUGAAUGAUGCAAAUGUUGACCACCACAUUUGGUAGGUUCAUGCGAGCACUGAAAUAAUUGUGAUGAUCUCGAAGAAUUUCUGAGCAAUGUCAUUGGUAUUCAUUUAUUAGUUUGUUUAGGUCUGUGUUUGUGGCAACUAAUUCUAUGUCUCCCUCAACAUUAUAAGAUUGCUUUGUGGCACAAAAGUGCAUGCACUGUCCUACAAAUGAUGGUUGGUUGUUCUAAACAUAGGGAUUCUAAAAUCCAUUUGUCUUUGACUUCUUAAUUUAACCUAUGUGCAUGUUCUUAUGACAAUGAUGCAAUGUGUGAAAUUUGUUUGACUUUUUGUAUGAUUAGAUUUUGAGGGAAACACCGCCCUGCCAAAAAGCCAACCGGCCGAGCUAGCCACACUGUGAAAGGGCCGAGCAACAACAACCUGAUAUACAUCAGUCGACAAUGAAGGUAUGUGUAUAUACAGUGUGUAGCAGCGCUGUCAUCUCAGACUUCCUGUUUAAGCUUGAUGCAUUCUCUUAUAACUGCCUUAUGAUAUGUGAUAUUUGUUUGAUAUCGAAGAAAGGCAUGUGCCCAUAUUAUUUCUCUUAUAACUGCAGAUUUUAUGCUCUUCCAUUUUGUAUU
rnacentral:lncRNA from 1 species